UGGGGAAUAUUGCACAAUGGAGGGAACUCUGAUGCAGCGACGCCGCGUGAACGAAGAAGGCUUUCGAGUCGUAAAGUUCUUUUAUAUGGGAAGAUAAUGACGGUACCAUAAGAAAAAGCCCCGGCUAACUACGUGCCAGCAGCCGCGGUAAUACGUAGGGGGCUAGCGUUGUCCGGAAUCACUGGGCGUAAAGGGUUCGCAGGCGGAAAUGCAAGUCAGGUGUAAAAGGCAGUAGCUUAACUACUGUAAGCAUUUGAAACUGCAUAUCUUGAGAAGAGUAGAGGUAAGUGGAAUUUUUAGUGUAGCGAUGAAAUGCGUAGAUAUUAAAAAGAAUACCGGUGGCGAAGGCGACUUACUGGGCUCAUUCUGACGCUGAGGAACGAAAGAGUGGGUAGCAAACAGG
rnacentral:rRNA from 1 species